GGGCUAGCUCAGCGGAAGGAACCCGGAUUCCUAAUCCGGGAGUCGUAGGUUCGAAUCCUUCCUGGCCCU
rnacentral:tRNA from 1 species